UGAGUGAGGUGAAUCUGGCUCUGUCACCCUGAUCACUGUGACUGCUCUGGCUGACUUUGAUGGAUCAGCAGGUGCCUUUUCGUCCCUCACCACUCCCUGUGCAUUCCUUUUAAACUUGGGUGCUCAGAAGGUGAGGAUGACCUUCCCAGACAGAAAACUGCUCUUCUAUCAAGAGUACAAUAACUUUGUGCCCUUGCUAAAACCUCCAAACAAGCUGUCAAGGAAGUGGGUCACUGGUAAACAGUCCAUGGGUCAUCUUGUUCUGGCUCCUG
rnacentral:snRNA from 1 species